AUACUGACCUGACAGGGGAGAUACCAUGGUCGAAAAGUUGUUUUUCCCAGGGUGAGGCUUAUCCAUUCCACUCCAGAUGUGUUGACCCCUGUGAUUUCUCCAAAUAUGGGAAACUCAACUGUUUAAAUUGUGGUAGUGGGGGGACUGAACUCGCAGUCUUCAG
rnacentral:snRNA from 1 species